rnacentral:rRNA from 1 species
UGCCGGAGUGCUUGCACUUUGGCAGACUGAGUGGCAGACGGGUGAGUAACACGUGGGUGACCUACCUUUUCGUUGGGGAUAACAGUUGGAAACGAUUGCUAAUACCGAAUAAAAUGUAAGAGUCAAUUUACAUUGAAAGGAGCCUUUAAAGCUUCGCGAUUAGAUGGGCCUGCGGCGUAUUAACUAGUUGGUGAGGUAAUGGCUUACCAAGGUGACGAUGCGUAGCCGAACUGAGAGGUUGAUCGGCCACAUUGGGACUGAGACACGGCCCAAACUCC